rnacentral:rRNA from 1 species
GAUGAACGCUAGCGGGAGGCUUAACACAUGCAAGUCGAGGGGCAUCACGAGGUAGCAAUACUUUGGUGGCGACCGGCGCACGGGUGAGUAACACGUAUGCAACCUUCCCUGUACAGGGGAUAACCCGGAGAAAUUCGGACUAAUACCCCAUGAUGAUAUUAUGGGGCAUCCUUUAAUAUUUAAAGCUCUGGCGGUACAGGAUGGGCAUGCGCGACAUUAGCUAGUUGGUAAGGUAACGGCUUACCAAGGCGACGAUGUUUAGGGGACCUGAGAGGGUUGUCCCCCACACUGGUACUGAGACACGGACCAGACUCCUACGGGAGGCAGCAGUGAGGAAUAUUGGUCAAUGGGCGCAAGCCUGAACCAGCCAUCCCGCGUGAAGGAAGAAUGCGCUACGCGUUGUAAACUUCUUUUCCAGGGGGAGAAUAAUCCUGUCGUGACAGAACUUGACGGUACUCUGGGAAUAAGCAUCGGCUAACUCCGUG